rnacentral:tRNA from 1 species
AAGGAUUUAAGUUAAAAAAAAAAACUAUCAACCUUCAAAGUUGCAAAUAAAGCUUACUUUAAGCCUUA